CWACCUGUBUCGAACGGACAGGAAGCAGCUUGCUGCUUCGCUGACGAGUGGCGGACGGGUGAGUAAUGUCUGGGAAACUGCCUGAUGGAGGGGGAUAACUACUGGAAACGGUAGCUAAUACCGCAUAACGUCGCAAGACCAAAGAGGGGGACCUUCGGGCCUCUUGCCAUCGGAUGUGCCCAGAUGGGAUUAGCUUAGUAGGUGGGGGUAACGGCUCACCUAGGCGACGAUCCCUAGCUGGUCUGAGAGGAUGACCCAGCCACACUGGGAACUGARAAACCGGUCCCAAACUCCUACCGGGAGGGCA
rnacentral:rRNA from 1 species